UUUGUUUUAAUGUAUUUCAGAGGAAGUUUUGUUUUUAUAGUUAAUAACUUUGUUUUGUGGAUAGGCAUAUUAGUUCAAGUCUUUUAAUAGUUAUACUGUACAAGCUAGAGGAGACCAAAGUGUCUUUACUUAUGGGAUCUCAGUUAUGACUUCUGAGUAGCUAAUACAACAAACACAAGGUUAGAAAGAACAACCCGUCUGCUAAGGGAAUGGACUGUGUUAGUCUAUAGAGAGGAGGAUUAUAUCUGCUGAUGAUGUGGUAAAAGAUCAUGUGAAGCUGAAACUUGUGGAUGUGUCAAAAAGCGUGAAUGCGACAGAAAUGAGAUUGAGAUGAAAUCAGACAUUCUUGGAGAACACAUGGAGAGCUUAUGUGGAAGUGGUUACUUCAGUCAAAUAAUCUGUUCAGAGAUCUGUAUAAAUCGGAGCACAGGAGCGGCUUGUGAAUCGUAAAGGACAGUAGCAAGAAGGACCUCAGCUUUUCUCCUCUCUCUGUAAGACU